CGGUUGAUCCUGCCGGAGGCUACCGCUAUGGGAGUCGGAUUAAGCCAUGCUAGCGGAGGGCAGUUCGGCUGCCCCGCGAAUAGCUCAGUAACACGUGGCCAAUCUACCCUUGAGAUCGGAACAACCCCGGGAAACUGGGGAUAAUUCCGGAUAGACGGGGGUUCUGGAAAUGUCUCUCGUCGAAAAGCUCAGGCGCUCAAGGAUGAGGCUGCGGCCUAUUAGGUAGUUGGUGAUGUAAAGGAUCACCAAGCCGAAGAUGGGUACGGGCCCUGAGAGGGGGAGCCCGGAUAUGGAGACUGAGACAAGGCUCCAGGCCCUACGGGGCGCAGCAGGUGCGAAAAUUCUGCAAUGCGUGCGAGCGCGACAGAGUGACUCCCAGUGCCGGUGGUCUAGCGACCGUCGGCUUUUUCGGAGUGUAAACUGCUCCGAGCAAUAAGGGCCGGGUAAGACUGGUGCCAGCCGCCGCGGUAACACCAGCGGCUCGAGUGGUAGCCGAUUUU
rnacentral:rRNA from 1 species